rnacentral:rRNA from 1 species
GACGAACGCUGGCGGCGUGCUUAACACAUGCAAGUCGAACGGAAAGGCCUGCUUUCCCUUGUGGAUUGCGGGUACUCGAGUGGCGAACGGGUGAGUAACACGUGAGUGAUCUGCCCCCAACUUGGGUAUAAGCCUGGGAAACUGGGUCUAAUUCCCGAUAGGACUGCAGGGUGGUGCCUGUGGUGGAAAACGAUUUUCUAGUGGUUGGGGAUGAGCUCGCGGCCUAUCAGCUUGUUGGUGGGGUAAUGGGCUACCAAGGCGGCGACGGGUAGCCGGCCUGGGAGGGUGGACGGCCACAUUGGGACUGAGAUACGGCCCAGACUCCUACGGGAGGCAGCAGUGGGGAAUAUUGCACAAUGGGCGGAAGCCUGAUGCAGCGACGCCGCGUGGGGGAUGACGGCCUUCGGGUUGUAAACUCCUUUCGACCGCGAGGAAGCCACCUGGUUGGAAGGGUGGUGACGGUAGUGGUAGAAGAAGCACCGGCUAACUACGUG